GGCUCACCUAAAGACAAACUAUCAUUCACACUUAGAUAGUUAUUAGCUUUUUUCACUAGAGUACAAGAGUUAAUUUGAUUAACUAGUAGCUCAUGUGGAGCAUGGCCACUCAUGGAAAUUGGAUUAGGAAAGCUUGGAUGCUCUAUCAAGUUAUCCAACUUCUUGCAAAUAGAGCUCUCCGUCCUUUCUAUUCAUCCUUCCAUUUUAUACAUUAUUCUUUCCAUUCUUUCCAUUCGUCCUU
rnacentral:lncRNA from 1 species